CUCAGUUUCAACCGGCUUCAUUCCUUUCCAAAGGGACAUGCCUAAGAUGAAUGGAGAAGCAAGAGCUCGCUCAAGUGGGCGAUUGGCUCAGCGAUGCCAAUCUGGACAAGAGGGAGGAAGGACAAUCAACACGACUGCCCUCUCCUCACCGCACAGUACUGAUUUCUUGUUUCACUUGAGACUCACAGCAUUCCUACAAGAGAGCCAGAUGGAGGACCCCAAAGUCCUGGAGAUGACAGAGCCACUAAGUGGAAAGAGCCUGAUCCAUGAAUGACUGCUUGGAGCAUGAUUUCCACUCCCCCUGCACCCUCUGCUGACCCACCUUGCACAAGAAUGUGAACUAGAAAUACAAUCUCAUUCUCUUAUGCUGUUGAAACUGGGCAUCUUUUUAUAGUACCUAAUGCUACUUACCCUAGCUAAUAUACCAAGGAAGUCUUUUGGACGUUUUGUAAGGACAAACCAUAAGACACACAUAAACACAGCUUCUGUGAAAUUCUUCUUUCCCACAGUUCACCUCUCCUGGGCCUUGGAACAUGAAUUCCAGCUUCUCUGUCAACCAAUGGCUAGAAGCAUUUUCUCCGUUAAAUUAAUUCAUUAGGGUGCUCUCCAAACACAUCCAUUGCCUGGUACUCAUUCCCUGGUCUGGCAAUGUGUGAGGAGCACAGGACUCCCUGGAUUUAUAUGCUCUAUUACUUGUAUUAGCAAGAAUACAAGGCUGCAGCCAUUUAUCAUCUACCAACCCACUGGACAAAAUUAUUCCCUCUAGACAUAAAGGUUGAAGUCGACUGAGUAUCAUUUUAACUGGAGGGAGAGGUACUUCCAUAAAGUGGCAAGAGCUUUAUGGCAGAAAGUUGUAUUAAUGACCCCACUUCAGUGCUUAUCAGGAGGAGGUCAUAUAAUCCCUUCCCAGAAUUACAGGCUGGCUGGUUCAGAUAAAUAACACAGAUCUCUGCCAUCCAUAAUCCAAAAUGUUAACAAUUAAUUUCCAAAAUCAGUCCUGAAGGGGACUGGAAGCCCAAAUUGCUAGACGCAAAUAGGCCUUGCUCCGUGGAUUUCUCAUGAGCCCAAAUCUAAACUUCAAACUUGUAACGAACUGUUGUCAAGACACAGCUGACUGAGGCAAUCAAGAUAACAUUAUUCAGCAAUAACCCGGGUGAAAAAUACUCUUAAGUGUGAAUUAAUAAGUCGGCUGACACCAGGCCCCAGAUGUUUCCUACUCUGGCAAUAUGCCCAAAGUGACGAUAAGCAGAUUUACAUACUUAACUAAUAUGUUUAUUUAAAGGAAAUUUCCAAAUCCAAAAUAACAUCCAGAUUUCUUAUUUGGCUGCAGAUCAAAAGACAUCCUAUCAAUAAGGACAGAAUCCAGGAUAAACCUUUUCAACAUCUGCUUAAAACCAAACAACAGAUUUGAGGAUUUGGGUAAAACUUAAUUGCAGACAAAUUUUACUGCCUCUUACAUAAAUAUAUAUUUUCAUGUCCCUGGGGUGGUUCUGACCUCAUCAGUUCCCAUGUUCACAAUACACAACAUUGUUCUUUUAGCGGCACCAACGACUCUGCCUUUAGGGAGCACUCAGGUCUCCAGGGUUUCUUUCACACUGAAGAAUGGAUAGACAGGCUUUCUCCCUCGUUGGGAAAGUCCCACCCAACUCAGGGGCGUGAGUUAGAGCUCAGGAAUGUUGCAGAAAGGAAAAAUCUGCCCUCUACCAACCAGGGAGCGCUUUGUGUUUCCAUAAUUACUAAAAUGCAUUUAUUUGGUCUCACUCUUCCUUCACCUUAAGAGAUGGUAGGAAUAAUGAUUCUCCUUUGGUAUUGACAUUUUUUUUUUUUUUGGUGGUGCUGAUGCUAUUGAUUCCCCACAUGGGAGCUCAGUAACUGGAUCUAAGUGUUGAUAGAUUUCCAGCUUGUGAAGGAGAUGAUAACAGAAUGGGUGUGGGCCUUAAUAGCUCAUGUCCCUUUAUGGUGAAUUAGCUCACUUUCCCAACUGUUAACUCCCUGAAGUUGGACCAAGAUCGUGGGGCACUGAGGCAUUUUUCCCACCCACUGGCUAGGGCUGUCAUUGAAUGAAAGGUCUGCUUCAGAAACUCCCUUUGCCGAGGGAUCUGUUUAAUAUCUGUUCAGGCCCAACAUCAGCCAGCUGACCCUGGGGCAGUGAGACUUUAAGAGUCAGAAGUCAUCCAUCUCCGCUCCAGCUCCAUCCUUUGAACUUGGUCAUGUGAAGUUUCUGGGUCCAAUCUCCUCACAGCCCAGAUGGGAAGAAUAGGUCAGUGGAAGCAGUCAAAGAAAUGCCAACUGAAACUGCAACGAGACACCAUUUUCCUCCUCUCCAUUGGCAAACAUGUUUCUAAAUACCCCAUUUGAUUACAGUUCAGAUUUCCCCCAUUAUAGGGGAUAUAUAUAACAAUUAUAUUUAUAUCAACUGUAGCUAUCAAAACCUUAAAAUGUGACCUUUCACCCAAAAAUUCUACUUCUAGAAUGCAUCUGAAGAGAGUUGCUAGGAAUUUGUGCGUAUAUCUAAUUAGGAGAGUAAAUGGUUGUGCUUAUGAUAAAAAAAAUCACAAAUGUCCGAAAUGUCAAACAAUUGAAACCAGCUGAUUAAGUGGUGGUCCACAAUUUAUGAAGUUAUUCAAAAUGAAGUUAAUAGAAUAAAAUUUAAUGACAGUGAAUUAUGUUUAUAUGCUGAGCAAAGUGGACUGCAAAAAGUAUGUUUUAUAUUUUACAGUUAAAAGAUGUAUAUGUACAAAUAUGUAAUAUGUAUAUAUAUUAAUGACACACAACAAAGUUACAACAGUGGUACAGUCAUAGGUAAUCAGAGUUUGGUUUUUGCUUAGUUUUAUAAUCUAAAUGUUCUAUAAUGAACAAGUAUUACUUUUAUUACCAAAAAUUCUAAAAACUUUGUGAAGGGGUUUUAUUUUAAAUCAUUUGCUUAGAGAUAUUUAUGCACUCAUUUUAAAUAUUCUUAUCAAUGAGUUUUGAUAACUGUAUGUAUAUCAUCAAUGAAUUAUGAUACAAAACAAAUAAAGUAUAGAAUUACUUUAUAAUUUCUAUUUUCCUGAAAAGUUCCUUCAUGCCCCUUUGUCGGCAGGUUCCUUCUUACCUCUAGUUCCAAGUCAACUUUCUGUCAGUGUUAUCACUGAAUUGCGCUACUCCCAGCAUUCAUAAGUUGAAAUCCUAACUCCCAAGACCUCAGGACAAGACUGUAUUGGGAGAGAGGGCCUUUAAAGACGUGAUCAAGGUAAAAUGAGGUCAUAUGGAGGGGCCCUACUCCAAUAUGACUGUUGUCAUUGUAAGAAGAAGAGAUCAGACACAGACAUGCACAGAGAGAUGCCCAUCCAAGGACACAAAGACGAGAGCCAACUACAAGUCAGAAAGACAGGCCGUCAGAAGAUGCCAGCCCUGCCCACUCCUUAGUAUCAGUAUUUUAGUCUCUAGCAUCAUGAGAAAAUUAAUUUCUGUUGUUUAGGCCACCCAGUCUUAAACCACCAAAUACCCAGUGGUAUUUUUAUGGCAGCCCUAGCAAACUAGUACAGUCACUAUGGUUUUUUUUUUUAAGUUUUAUGUAAUAAUGGAAUUGUACAGUGUAUAUGUUGGCUUUCUUUGCUCAGAUUUAGCCUUGAUGUUUUAGAGAUUCAUUCUUCUUGUAUGUAUCUGUAGACCAGUAGCUGAUGAUUACUUUUCAUUGCUGGAUUGUAUUUCAUUGUUUGGCUAUACCGCAUUUUGAUUAUCCAUUCAUCAGAUAUCAGACAUUUAUGUUAUUU